UUAUUUAAGGUCUGCUAUCAUUUUUGUUGUCCUUUGUACCUUAUUUUUUUAUGUACAAUUGAUGUUGUUUCUAUUGCCAAGUUUGUUUGACAUACAUAGCGGUCUGAAAAAACAUAAUACUAUGAAUAACAUAGUGGAGGUCUAACCAACCAAACAACAUAGUAUUAAAAAUCAUAGUCAAAGAAGCCAACAACAUCAACAACAUAAUCUAGUUAUACUGGCCACCACAUUCUCUCUGAAGGGUCUCUAGUAGUCUGCGAAGGCGUGGUUGUCAAUGUCACACUACCCCUACUGAGGGUGGAUGCACAAUCCCAAUCAUUAUGGACCUUUUUGAGGUGCUCCGGGGUUGGUAGACCGGGUGGUGGACUGGGAUGGGAUCUUCUCCUUGAUUGUCGUUUGCCCAAAGUUAGUAUCAGGAUGCUGAAUACCCCACUGUGGCUAUGAUGAGCUCCCAACUCCACCAUCUUCGACCCACUAAGUAGACUGACUUAAGGGCAUUUGUGGGGCCACUGUGUGUGUGUUUGGGGGGGGGGGGGGG
rnacentral:lncRNA from 1 species